rnacentral:rRNA from 1 species
AUUGAACGCUGGCGGCAGGCCUAACACAUGCAAGUCGAGCGGAUGAAGGGAGCUUGCUCCUGGAUUCAGCGGCGGACGGGUGAGUAAUGCCUAGGAAUCUGCCUGCUAGUGGGGAUAACGUCCGGAAACGGGCGCUAAUACCGCAUACGUCCUGAGGGAGCAAGUGGGGGAUCUUCGGACCUCACGCUAUCAGGUGAGCCUAGGUCGGAUUAGCUAGUUGGUGGGGUAAAGGCCUACCAAGGCGACGAUCCGUACCUGGUCUGAGAGGAUGAUCAGUCACCCUGGAAGUGUGACACGGUCCAGACUGCUACGGGAAGCAGCAGUAGGGAAUAUUGGAGAAUGGGCGAAAGCCUGAUCCAGCCAUGCCGCGUGUGUGAAGAAGGUCUUCGGAUUGUAAAGCACUUUAAGUUGGGAGGAAGAGCAGUAUGUUAAUACCUUGCUGUAUUGACGUUACCAACAGAAUAAGCACCGGCUAACUUCGUG